GACGAACCGCACGAACGUUAUUCGGAAUUACUGGGCUUAAAGGGUGCGUAGGCGGCCCGGAAAGUUGGGUGUGAAAGCCCUCGGCUCAACCGAGGAAUUGCGCCCAAAACUUCCGGGCUUGAGGAAGACAGAGGUGAGCGGAACUUGCGGUGGAGCGGUGAAAUGCGUUGAUAUCGCAAGGAACACCAGUGGCGAAAGCGGCUCACUGGGUCUUUUCUGACGCUGAGGCACGAAAGCCAGGGGAGCGAACGGGAUUAGAUACCCCCGUA
rnacentral:rRNA from 1 species